UACCAGCACCCCGAGUGGUCGGGACGUUUAUUGGGCCUAAAGCCUCCGUAGCCGGUUCUACAAGUCUUCCGUUAAAUCCAGCUGCUUAACAGAUGGGCUGCGGAAGAUACUAUGGAGCUAGGAGGCGGGAGAGGCAAGCGGUACUCGAUGGGUAGGGGUAAAAUCCGUUGAUCCCUUGAAGACCACCAGUGGCGAAGGCGGCUUGCCAGAACGCGCUCGACGGUGAGGGAUGAAAGCUGGGGGAGCAAACCGG
rnacentral:rRNA from 1 species